rnacentral:tRNA from 1 species
UAACACUGAAGUAAAAUUUACAUUUAGUUUCGACCUAAAAAUUAGAAUAAAAUUCCAUGUUUU